AUUGAACGCUGGCGGCAGGCUUAACACAUGCAAGUCGGACGAGUGGCGGACGGGUGAGUAAUGUUUGGGAAUCUGCCUUAUGGCGGGGGAUAACUACGGGAAACUGUCGCUAAUACCGCGUACCAUAGGAUGAGCCCAAGUGGGAUUAGGUAGUUGGUGGGGUAAUGGCCUACCAAGCCGACGAUCCCUAGCUGGUCUGAGAGGAUGACCAGCCAAACUGGGACUGAGACACGGCCCGGACUCCUACGGGAGGCAGCAGUGGGGAAUAGUGCACAAUGGGGGCAACCCUGACGCAGCCAUGCCGCGUGAAUGAAGAAGGCCGUCGGGUUGUAAAGUUCUUUCGGUGGCGAGGCGUUAACGACAGAAGAAGCACCGGCUAACUCCGUGCCAGCAGCCGCGGUAAUAC
rnacentral:rRNA from 1 species